rnacentral:rRNA from 1 species
UUUGAUCAUGGCUCAGGAUGAACGCUAGCGGCAGGCUUAACACAUGCAAGUCGAGGGGUAUAGUUCUUCGGAACUAGAGACCGGCGCACGGGUGCGUAACGCGUAUGCAAUCUACCUUUUACAGAGGGAUAGCCCAGAGAAAUUUGGAUUAAUACCUCAUAGCAUUAUGAUAUGGCAUCGUAUUAUAAUUAAAGUUCCAACGGUAAAAGAUGAGCAUGCGUCCCAUUAGCUAGUUGGUGUGGUAACGGCACACCAAGGCUACGAUGGGUAGGGGUCCUGAGAGGGAGAUCCCCCACACUGGUACUGAGACACGGACCAGACUCCUACGGGAGGCAGCAGUGAGGAAUAUUGGACAAUGGGCGCAAGCCUGAUCCAGCCAUGCCGCGUGCAGGAUGAAGCAUCUAUGGUGUGUAAACUGCUUUUGUACAGGAAGAAACCCUCCCACGUGUGGGAGAUUGACGGUACUGUAAGAAUAAGGAUCGGCUAACUCCGUGCCAGCAGCCGCGGUAAUACGGAGGAUCCAAGCGUUAUCCGGAAUCAUUGGGUUUAAAGGGUCCGUAUGCGGCCUUAUAAGUCAGUGGUGAAAUCUCUCGGCUC